GUCCCAGGUUGCGGCGGACCAGAUCCAAAAGCCUGCCAGGACAAUCGCGACAGCUGGCCACAUGCGGGUUACGAGGCCCAUGAGGCCGGCUGU
rnacentral:sRNA from 18 species